UGCUUCGUGAACUGAAGCCGAUGUAGCAACAGCAAAGCGGCCAAUAGAAUCAACACGUUGAGCGACUUCAAGUCCAAAAGCCGUAUUUGACGAAUCUAACGCCUCAAGCACACUACCUACAACAGCGUCAAAGGUAUGCACUUCGUCGUUCCAAAGCAUUACACGGAAAACGUUGCAAGGCCUAUCAGCUACACCAUACUUUGCGCUGCUAAGACGAGAGGCCUCCUCAUCUGCUAAGAUGCUACCGACAGUAGAUUGAGCUUUAAGAUUCACGGGGGAACAAGAAAAGACAUCGAGAAUGAAGUCAAGAAGAAUAUGAAUAGUUGUACGGAUAGAGUGUUGAAGUUCUAGUGGGAUCACUUCUUCUGGCUUUUUCUGCUCCUCGUCAUCGGGGACAUUAUGUAUCUUGCAGUUAAGGUCGACAUUCCAUGCCUCAGGAUCGCCACAGUCGCAGAUUCCACUAUAAGAGGUUGAAAUAGAUACAUGAGUCUCGUGACCCUCGUGGUUUGUGGCAUGAAAGCAAGGAGCACAAAGAACACAUGUGUUAUCUAGCCCACAGUUCUUGCAACGAUAUAUCACCUCGCCGGCACGAAAUACGUGGCCACAAACCUUGGACCCAGAACGUUUAUCUUGUAAUUCUUGGGCGCAUUCGGGUUCAGAGUGCUGAAGCCUCGAGAGACGAAAGUCAGAAGUAAU